GACGAACGCUGGCGGCGUGCCUAAUACAUGCAAGUAGAACGCACAGUUUAUACCGUAGCUUGCUACACCAUAGACUGUGAGUUGCGAACGGGUGAGUAACGCGUAGGUAACCUGCCUGGUAGCGGGGGAUAACUAUUGGAAACGAUAGCUAAUACCGCAUAAUAUUAAUUAUUGCAUGAUAAUUAAGUGAAAGGUGCAAUUGCACCACUACCAGAUGGACCUGCGUUGUAUUAGCUAGUAGGUGAGGUAACGGCUCACCUAGGCGAAGAUACAUAGCCGACCUUGAAGGGUGAUCGGCCACACUGGGACUGAGACACGGCCCAGACCUCUACGGGAGGCAGCCGUAGGGAAACUUCGGCAAUGGACGAAAGUCUGACCGAGCAACGCCGCGUGAGGGAAGAAGGUUUUCGGAUCGGAAAGCUCUGUUGUAAGAGAAGAACGGGUGUGAGCGUGGAACGUUCACACUGUGACGGUACCUUACCAGAAAGGGACGGCUAACUACGUG
rnacentral:rRNA from 1 species